ACCAGAUAGAGGGAAUGGCAAAUGCAAAGGCCCUGAGGCAGGAACAUGUGUAAGAAGAGCAGAAAGACAGUUGUGUGGCUGGAGCACAGGGAAGGAGGGGUAUGCAGGCCACGAAGAGGAGCUGGGGUUUGAUUUCAAGUACAUACCUCACGUGUGAUUGGCGUGGAGCCAGCCGGAAGAGCCGCUGUGGGAGAACCCACGCGCCCUGACCGCAGCGGGCCAGGGAAGCAGCUCUGGGAGGAGGACUUGGGCUGCGCGUCUGCUCUUCAUUCCCCUGAUUCCUUCCACCGCAGCAUGUUCUGGGAGCCCGUGGCCAGGAGGGCGGGAUGUAGUCAUCCGCCCCAGGCAGGGCGCUGCUUUGGCUUCCCUUCCCCGCGUCCUCUAGAUCCCCCUGGUUUGCAGCCACCAGGGGAAGGUCGUCACCACCAUCACCGUCAGAAGCAUCGUGGUGGGAAACAUUUGUCGAACGCGCACUAUAGACCAGGUCCUGGGCCGUGCCUUUUAUGCGUGUCUGUGAGCUUGGUGUCCACUUUACAGAUGCGAAGGCGAAAGAGGCAAAAGCCUCCAGCCGAGAUUACACGUUUGUUGUGUUCCCGGGAACAUCUGGGCCUUGAGUGGUGGAAUGGGCUGGAAUGUUAGCGCUGAAGCCCCGCUGGAGCUAGAGGCUUUGCUGGGACUGGGAUUGGAGGCUGCAGAAAGCGAAAAGCGGCAAGGUCGGCUGCAGGUCAUGGAGAGAGAACAAAUGCGCUUCUCUGAAGGAUGGAAAAAUCGAUGCCCACGGAAGAGCGGGUGCAGGGAAGGUGUGGACAGCAGCGGAGGGGAGAAGACCAAGGGCGGGGGGGGAGUCAGGAGCCUGGGGUCCCUCCGCUGCGGCACUGGCUGUUCCCCAUCUCCCAGAGCAAAGUCAGAGGUCAGUGUGGUCAGCACAGGCCCGGUGGUGUGGUUUUGGUUUUCAUUAUUUUGUUCUGAUUACCAAAGCUGUGCGUGUUCGUGUAGAAAAUCAAAAUCACCAAAUCCAUCCCCCGAGGUAACCUCCCCGUUAACGUGCAUAGUAAAUCCUUCCAGCCUUUUUUCUCUGCAAGUUGAAUGCACUUUUUAUUUUUGCAAAAGUAGGACGUGCUCAACUGCUGUUUUUCAUCCGACACUCUGCAGCCAGGAUCCUUCUGUGCCGUUACCUGGUGAUCUGCUGGCUGCACCAUGAGUCAUCUUGUUGUGUGGUGGACAUGUGCACAGUACAGGGCUUGGGGUCAGGAAUUGACCCCUUGCUUACGUCACGUCGGGCAGGUGGCCUCCACCCUCUGACCUUGCCGUCCUCCUCUGUGUGGUGGGGCUACUGCUGACUGCCUUACAGCCUUGUGGUGAGAAUUACAUGAGGCAAGAGACAGAAAGUACUCCUUCCUUGCGGAACACAUCAAAAAUAUUCCACCCACUUCAGGUAUUAUUAUUUUUUAUCCUUAUGGUUACAUGGCAAAACCAUCAUUUACUUAGCCAAACCUCUGUCAUUGAACAUUUAGGCUGUUUAUUCAAAUUCCCUUAACGAAGAAGACUUUAGUGAAUAUCCUUGCCGAGAAGUCUUUAACAAAUGCUCAAUUAUUAAUUUUGAGUGAUUUCUAGGAGAAAAGUUUCCAUGUUAGGAAAGGUAUGCACGUUUUAGGACCAGUCUGUCUGCAUACUCACACAUUGCCCUCCUGAAAAUGUUCUGAUGACACGGUGUGAGUGUCCUAGGACUGCCGUGACAAAUUAUCACAAAUUUGGUGGCUUAAAAUAAAGAAAUUUAUUCCCUCACAGUUCAGGAGGCUAGAAGUCCAAAAUCAGGGUGUCAGGUUUGGUUUGGUUUUGUCUUUUUUGGGUUUUUUUUGGGGGGGGGUGCCCUCACCACGUGGCUUGUGGGAUCUUAGUUCCCCAACUAGGGAUCGAAGCCACACCCUUGGCAGUGAAAGUGUGGAGUCCUAACCACUGGACCGCCAGGGGAUUUCCUCUCUUAGCUUCUGUCAGUUGACUCGUAGCCCCCUCACCCCAGUCUCUGCCUCUGUGGUCAUAUCACCUCUUCCUCUGUCUAUUUUUUCCCCAUAUGCCUCUUACAAGGACAUUGUCCUAUAAUCCAGGAUGAUCUCUUCAUCUCAAGAUCCUUAAUUAUAUCAGCAAAGACCCUUUUUUUCAAAUGAGGUAACAUUCAUGGGUUGUGGGGUUAGGACAUGCUCAUGGCUUCAGGGGGCUACCACUGAACCCACACACACUCCUACCAAGGAAAGAGCAUUGUGUAAAAUUCCUUUUUCCCCUCACCACACAGGAUAUUCUAAUCUUUUUGAAAUGUUUGGCCAAGUUGAUAAGGUAAAAAGGAUCUCUUGCUUCAAAGUGCAUUCUGUUCUGUUCUUUUCUUUUACUAUCAGUGAAGAGAAACAUAUUUUCAUCUGCUCGCUGGUCAUUUGUUUUUCUUAUUUUGCAAUUCUUAUUUCACAUGCUUGUUGGUCAUUUUUCUUAUUGUUUUACUGAUUCAUGUCCUUUGCUCAAUUCCUUAUUAGGUAUUAAUUGUCUUCUUCUGCGUGUGUGAGAGCUCUUUGUAGAUUAGGGAUAUUGAACCUUUAUUAUAUCUUGUAAAUAUCUUCCUAAUUGGUCACUUGCUUUGGGGGUUUUCUCAUAGUUCUUCAAUGUACAUAACUUUUACAUUUUUUUGUAGUCAAAGCUUCGAGAGCAUUUUACCAUCAGGCUUUUCCCACUGACAUUAUUUUCAUCUAGCGCUUUUAUAGUUUCACUUUUAUAUUUAAUUUUGUGUUAUCUCUGCAAUUUAUUUUAGUGAUGGUGUAUGUUAAGGUGUAUUGCUUUCCCCCCCAUUAUUGAACAGUUGUCUUAAUACCACUUAAUAAAUAGUUCAUAUUUUCCCUAUUGAUUUUAAAUGAUACCUUUAUAAUAUAUUCAAUUUGACUUCUGGUUCCAGUGACCUAGCAGACUGAGCUAAUGGUGACACUCCCCUCACUCCUUAUGCUAAGGAACAUCAACAAAACUUAGCACAGCAACAGAAAUAAUUAAUCUUGAAAAAAAGAAUGGGAAACUCCUAGGUCCUGGAAGUUGGGAGGGGAAAACCAGAGCCAGGAACUAUUCCAUAACAUACAACCCCCAAAAGGGGCAAGAUCCUCAGUGAAGAGGUGCUGACAGAUAAAAAAUAGAAACAACAGGAGGAAAUGAUCUACCACAAGGGAGAAUUAGCACAGUGUGAAACUGAGAUCAUAGCACAGUCUGAAAGAGACUAUAAACCAAGUGUGCGUUAAAUUAUUAAAAGAAAAAAAGGCACCAUAAGCAAAUAAAAAGAUACCUUAAAAAAGAGGCAGAUUUGAAGGAAAACAAAGAUCUAAGAAUGAAAAACAGCCACUGAAACUAAAAUUUCAAUGGGUGUGUUAAAUAGCAGAUUAGACACAGCUGAACAAAUGUUCAUGAACUUAAAGAUAGAACUGAGAAAAUUACUCAGAAUGCAGCCUACAAAGAUAAAAAGAUAGAAAGACCAAAAAUAGAAGCAAACAGGAUAGAGUGAGGAGGUCUGACAUAUGUCUUAGAGGAGACCUAGAAGAAGGGAGAUUAUGAGGAGAAUGGAGGAGAGAUCGUAUUCAACAUGAUAAUGUCUGAGAAUAUUCCAAUAGUGAUGAAAGACACAACUCCUCAGAUUUAAGAGGUGUAUUAAUUCCAAGAAGGAUAAAUAACAGUCAGUCUACACCUAGAUAUAGAUACUAAAUAUGUAAUACUAAAGACAAAGAAAAUUACUUAAAGCAACCAGAAGGAAAAACUGUGCUCUCAGCACUUUGCACACUAGCUCUUUAAGUCUUCAAAAUAACACUCUUAAACCUUUUAAGAAUGGAAAAUUGAGGCACAGAAAGUUUAGCUAAUCUUUAUUACUUCAUGUUACUUUAGUAAUUCUUGUUACAAUAAUGGCCCCUGAAGAAUCACACUUCCCCUUGACAGUACCCUUUUGUGAUGUGACUUUGCUCCUCCUGCCUUCAAGAGGACACACUUGUCACAAGGGAGAAUCUUAGUCUAUUUCCCCACCCUUGAGCCUGGUCUGGCCUUGAGACUUGCUUUGACUGGUAGAAUGCAGCCAAGAUGAUGUUGUGUUAUUUCCAAAACCAGACCUUAAGGAGCCUUGUAGCUUCUAGUUUUGCUGUCUUAGAUCACUUCUGCCCUCUUGUCAAGAAACCCAGUGUAGAAUACUGGUGGAAGAGAAUUGAGAUGACCUACCUGACAGCCAGCACCAACUGUCAGGCUUUUGACUGAGGCCAUCUGAACCCUUUACCCCAUUCAAACCCCAGAUGAGAACAGCCACAUGAGUGACUCUAGGGGAGAUUAGCAGAAGAACUUCCCAACUGAUCCCAGCCCAAAUAGCAGAAUUGUGAGCAGUAGAUACUUGGGCACAAAAUUACACAAUUAUUAAUGGCAGGGCCAGGAUGUGGACCUAGGCAGCCAAGAACUCCAGGUCAUAUGCUUUGACCACAAUCCCACACAGCCUGCAAAGAAACAACAAAAAACAUCAACAACAAUAAAGGCCAAAAGAAAAUACAGUAAUAAUAUAUCCAAGAUGAUGAAAGAAAAUAUUUGUCAACUGAAAAUGUCUUUCAGCUAAACUACCUUUAAAGAGUGAAAGCAAAAUAAAGACAUUUUGGACAAAGACUGAGAAACUUUACCACUCACAGAGCUUUGCUGAAAGAACUAAUAAAGGAUUAUCUAAGGAGGAAGGAGAUCAAACCCUGUAUCAGAAUGCAGUGAACCUUUGCAAUCUGCAUAUUCAGAUCUUUUUGUCUGGUUUUAAGGCACAGUUUCCUAGGGCAGCUAUAUGAAACAACGGCAACUGGGGGGUUUAACACAACAGAAGUGUGUUCCCUCACAGUUCUGGAGGCCAGAAGUCUGCAAUCCAGGUGUUGGCAGGGUUGGUUCCUUCUGGAGGCUCUGAGGGUGAGUCUGUUCCAUGCCCCUCUCCUGGCUUAUGGCAUUUCUUGGCUUGUAGCUAUAUCACUCCAAUCUCUGCCGCUACCUUCGCACGGCCUCCUCCUGUUUCUCUCCUGUCUGUGUUUCUUUGUUAAUGUGGACACUUAUCAUUGGAUUUAGGGCCCACCCAGUUCAUCCAGGAUGCUCUCAUCUUGAGAUUCUUAAUUAUAUCUGCAAAGACCCUUUUCCCAAGUAAGGUUACAUUCGCAAUUACCAAGGGGUAGGACUUGGACAGGUCUUUUUGGAGACCACAGUUCAAGGCACUACACAGUCCACGUCCACGUCCCUUUUUUUAUAGCCUCAUGCUGCCUUUUCCCAUCAGUCGGGGUUGCCCUGUGCUUUCCCGCUCCUGUUUUGCAGAGCACGUCUUUCCGUUAAGGUUGCCACACCGUUUCCUGACGUCUUCUGGUUCCUUUAGGAAACUGCUGUGAGCCGCCUGCUCUCGUGUUGCAGAAUGCUGAUCCCUUUCCAUGCUCAGCAGUGUUCUUUCACAGUCCUUUGUGGUCGAUGCUUUUGCCUCCGUAUUGUCCCUCAGACACAGAAACAUUAACCCACACUCCAGGAUUUUAAGUAGACAGGAUGUGUAGAUUGCCUCUGGUCCUGUCCUCUUAUUACUUGUUUGGUGGCUCCAUCCCAUUCUCAGGGUUUGGUCUGGGCAACAGGAUCAAGUGGGCUUUGCUCAAUCCAUGUCCCAGUUUCCAGCAGGUUCUGCCAAUUGCAGCCCAGCUGAACGAAGGUGGCAUCCGCUCUGGUCCAGCUAAAUGGUUCUUGGAUUUUCUGAACAGAUAAAAUAAGCAAAAGUCCCAGCAUGCACUGCUACUGGGGAGUUUCCUAGUGUUCUCCUCACCCCCACUCCCCCUACAAUGAUCACCUUUGCUUCCCAGAAUCCCAUGCACCAUGAAAGCCCCCUGCUUGCCCACUUUCUCUCAAUGACUAGGGGACAUUACUCCAAUAGCAUCUGUGGGAGAGGGACAGCUAUCCAGUUUUCAGAGUGGCACAGAUUCCGGGUCUCUGACUGGGGGCAAAUGAUGGAGGAGGUUCUGAGCCCCUUCCUGCCUUUGUCCCCAGUCUCUCUCCAACACCGGCCCCCCACACCCACUAUUGUCAUCAGCAUGGGUUCCUCCCAGAUUCUGACAUGGGGUUGGCAGCUGUUCCCCACAAUGCGUAAGGUUUCAUAUUUCUCCCUACGUUCAUGGGUAUUUAGUGGAAAACUAAGAAUGGCUCUAUCAGGGUUUCUAGUUACAUGUCAUCUUAUAUAGAAGUCCACAGGUUUUUAGUGCUUUUUUUUUUUUAAAGCUCAGACUCACUCAUUCAUGCACAUUUAUUUGUUCAAAAAAAGUAGUGUGUUCACGGCUUGGCUUCCUAGUGGAUGUCAGGAUAACUCAGCUAAUAAUACAGGAGAGUUCUGCAAAGAUGGAGGAAUAGGGAAAAGGCCCAGGCCCCCGCCUCUUCCUUCCUCCGCUCUGCAAACCUGACUUCUCCAUCUUGAAGACCGUGUUCUUGUGCUCCCAAAUUAGCAGUCUGUGAAAUCAGGCACAUUUAUUGAGAACUUUCUUUUGCUCCAGGCAAAAGUAAGGGGAAAGGAAGUAGCCUAGGGGAGAGGAAGAUAAAAUCGUUAGGAUUCCUGCCCUCAUGGUACACAGCUUCCACUUCCCUGCUGUAGAGCACGGUGCCUGUUUUCAUCAUGGUUUGUGAUGAUUAUUUGAAUAAUCACCUCACUAGACUCCUGUCAGACUGGCAGCCCCGUGAGUGCAGGAACAGUGUCUGUAUCCUUGUUUGUUAGCACAGCUGGGACUGGGUAGGGCCGCCUGAAGGACAGGCCAUCUGAGCUGGGCUCUGAAGGGUGGAUAGGAGUUCUGUGUAGAUAAGGAUGGUGGGAGCAAGAGAGAGGGGCGAAGUCUCUCUCUCUGGGGUCUCCUCAGCCCAAACCUGACCCUCCUUCUUGGCCUAGUUCUCACUGUGGUUUCUGCUGCGACAGGGAGAAAGUUCCCCUCUGGAUCUCCUUAGAGGCUGAACAGCCCCAUGUCUGGGCAGUGCUCAGAGAAGGAUGAGGUCUGCAGGAAUUGAUGGCCAGGUUGCCUAGGCCUAAGAGCUCAGCUGGGGAGAAUGGACAGAGGCCCAUGUUUGCCUCCUCUGGGCUCCCUUCCUUUAUCUUUUCAAAGCAGAUAUAAGUGGUGCCCGUCCCACCGUGGCAGCCGCGGGUUGUGAUUACUUUCCAACAGGCACGUUCAUGGCUGGGUCUCCUGGAUGGGACCCAAAAGCCAUUUGCCCGGGAGGCAGAAUCUGAGUCAGGUCCAGCUGGGUCUUCCCAUCUUUUAUUUGCCCAAUCCUAUUAAUAAUUAACGAUACAGUAAUGAGAAUUGCUUUUAAUAGAAUCCGCUGCCAUCAUGGCAUUCUGUUCCCCGCCAAGGGUUUCCCCCAAAAGGAUUCACGGUCACAUGGCUGUGCCUCCUGCCACCUCACUGGAAGGUCCCCUGCCGUCGUCCUUCCCUCCUCUCUUCUGGGCCUGAGCCCCCUCCCUGCUGACCUGGAAGCCCCACUUUCUCCUCUACCAUUUCCUGUCCCCUCCCUGAAGCCCCACCCACCAGCCCCUCCAGGUUCCCGCUGUGGCGUGAGGCCGCCCCAUCCACCCAGCGAGGCCUCGUCUGUCACCAGGGCAAACUGGUCCCACUGGGCAGGGACACGGACGCCCCCGGAAGCAGCUGUGUGCCCAGCCUGGGGCAGGCGUGAGACCCACACUGUGUGUACAGAGGCUGACACUGGACCCAAACUCACUUCCAGCAAAGCCUUAGGACGGUGCUGUGGUUCUCCCCAUUCUGCAGAUGAAGAACUGAGGCUCAGUGCCUCGAGGAGGUGCAGGUGGGAUGAGGACGCAGGUCGUGUGACUUCAAAACGAGGACACUGAGGCCCAGAGAGAAUGACAUGAGCUGGAGCCUGAAACUUGCAAGGUGCAGGGCCUGCCUUCCCAGUACACACCAGUGAAGCCCAGCUCCUUGAGUGGAGUCCUCACACACAGCUGGUGAGGGGGCCUUCAUCACCCCACCCUGGGUGGGCCACGCGACCGCUUUGACCAGUGAGGACGGCAGAAGCGACACUGGAACAGUUCCAGAACUGGCCUGGCAGCUUCACCUCUUGCCUCUUGGAGCCUUGAGUCUUGACACAAGAAAUCCAGUCUAGGUUGCUGGAAAGGGCAUAGGAUGCAGCAGCAAGAUGAGGCCAUCCUGGGCACCCAGCCCAGCGGAGCCUUCAGAUGACUCCGGCCUCAGCUGCUAUCUGCCUACAACUGCAUGAGAGACUCCAAGCAAGAACCUGCCCAGCUAAGCCCCAUCAACUCCAGCAUCACCAGGAAGACUAAUAAACUAAUGCUUGAAACCACUGCACUGGGGGUGGUUUAUCACACAGCAGUGGGUAACUGGAACAGCGCCCUACAGACCCCCUCAGAUGCGAUCAGCCAGGGAAUGUGAACUGGGCACCCAUAACGUGCCGGGCAGAGAUGCAAGCUGUCCUGCCAACCACAGACGGCCGUGGGGAAACCCCAAACCUGUAUUCGCGGAAAGAUGUGGGGAUGCUAUCAACUACCCCGGCCUGCAAGUGCAGCAAUGUGUGAGAGCCUGACACGUGGCCCAAAUCCCAGCCGCUCCUCUCACUAGCUGGGGGAUCUUGGGUGUGUUACUGCUCCGAGCCUCACCUUCCCCAUCUGUAAACUGGGGGAAUAAGAACCCUUCCACCAGGGAUGAGCUCCAUUUUGGAGAGCGAGGGGCCAUGUUGGGCAUCUAGACCAACGUCCCUCCUUCAAGAUCUGACAGCCCCUCCCACCACCUCUCCGCCCUUUCUUCCUGUCAGUUCCUAGUUGCAGGGAGCAGGGAGCGUCUGCCAAGAGACCCAGCUGGUGACCCUGAGGAUGCUGCCUGAGGAUUCCUCCGUUAUUAAGGAAUAUGCUCCCUCUCCCCAGCUCUUUUGCGCUUCUGUGUCAGGCUCAGAAAUGGCUUAAGGGGAGGGGCUGGCAUUCAACUCCGGGGUCUAGGCAACCAUGCCAUCCAUCUGGCCUCGCUGGAAUUCAGUUUCCCCACUCCUGGAGGAGAAGAGACAGGCAGGGAGGAGAGACAGAGGGAGCAGGCAGUGCAAACCGAGGACCCGUUCUGGGUCAGGCACCGAGGCAAGUGCUGUGAAGGGUCGGAUCACCUCUGAGCCUAGGUCCCAGCUCACAAAAAGCGAGUCCGCGGAAGUCAGUUUUGUUGAGCUAGUUAAAUGGCUGGUAACCCCGCCCCCAGGUCCCUUCCAUGCCCACCAGGCACUUCACCUCUCAGGGCCUCCCUUUUCCAUCUGUGAAUUAAAGGAUAGACAAGGGCAACGAUGACCGGCAUUGGAGCGUCUGCCCUGCUGGCAGGGGCUGCUGUGGCCCCGUUGCACAGGUGGGAGACCGAGGCCGGCCAGGUGUGCAGGGACUUACAGCCCUCGGGACCACACUGCCAGGACAAAGCCCAGGAGGGAUUAGAACUCAACUCCGUCUCAUUCCACACCCGAGCUCUUUAAACUCUCCCUUUGUGCGUGCCUGUAACUGAUUGCCCCACCAACUGAUUAACUGAUUGACUGAUUACCUGCCACGGCCCCUCCUCCUGACGGGCCUUCCAGGGAGUCCCCUCCGACCCCCACUGCCCAGCUCACGUUCCUCCGACCACGCACCCCAGGUGCGCCCCCAACAAGCAGUGUGGAAGGGGGCGGGGCCUGGGCGGGGCUCCCGCGGCUUCCCGCCCCCGCCCGCCAGCCGCCGGCUUCUUAAUCUGCAGCCCUUGUGGCUCUGCCUGUCGCCCGCCGGUUGUCAGGGAAACGACCUCUCCCCUCUGAACCUUCAAAGGGCUCCUCCCACUCCUGCGGGCGGGAGCUGGGGUCCUUGGAUGAGAGACUGGGGAGACAGAGACGGGGGAGGGAUACCCAGAGAUGGAGAGACAGGGAGACAGAGGCAGAGACGCACCCUGGCAGGGAGAGACACAGGCCGCAGAGAGAAUGGAGGUGGAGAAAAAAGAGACAGUGACAAGAAAACGCACCCCCGCCCCUGCCACAGCAACAGAGGCUGAGAGAUGGAGAGAGACAGUCACAGCCCUGUACAGAGACAGGGAGAGAGAUCUUGGGAGAGGCAGGGUCAGCAUAGAGAUGGGGGGUGGGGG